rnacentral:rRNA from 1 species
CUACGUGCCAGCAGCCGCGGUAAUACGGAAGGUCCAGGCGUUAUCCGGAUUUAUUGGGUUUAAAGGGAGCGUAGGCGGAUUAUUAAGUCAGUGGUGAAAGACGGUGGCUCAACCAUCGUUAGCCAUUGAAACUGGUAGUCUUGAGUGUAGACAGGGAUGCUGGAACUCGUGGUGUAGCGGUGAAAUGCUUAGAUAUCACGAUGAACUCCGAUCGCGAAGGCAGGUGUCCGGGCUGCAACUGACGCUGAGGCUCGAAAGUGUGGGUAUCAAACAGGAUUAGAUACCCUGGUAGUCCACACAGUAAACGAUGUAUACUCGCGGUUUGCGAUAUAAUGUAAGCCGCCAAGCGAAAGCAUUAAGUAUACCACCUGGGGAGUACGCCGGCAACGGUGAAACUCAAAGGAAUUGACGGGGGCCCGCACAAGCGGAGGAACAUGUGGUUUAAUUCGAUGAUACGCGAGGAACCUUACCCGGGCUUGAAC